GAACGUGAGGGUACUCUAUCCAUAACAUCUAUCGUCCUACUGAUUACCAGGGUUGAUUCAGCUGAGCUGCCUGGCUAGGUGGUUAUCCCUUCUCCUUCACCAAGCCAUGAGCGUCCCUCCUGAAGCUAUGCUCAGUCUCAGAGAACAACUGACUGAAAUAUGUCCCCUGCUAGAACCUCCAAACAAAAUGAUCCAGGAUUUACACAGGCCCUGCAGACUGCUCCUAUAUACUUCAUGUCACCUCUAAUAAUUAUACCCAGUGUAAUAUAAAU
rnacentral:sRNA from 1 species